rnacentral:rRNA from 1 species
AUUGAACGCUGGCGGCAGGCCUAACACAUGCAAGUCGAACGGUAACAGGAAGCAGCUUGCUGCUUCGCUGACGAGUGGCGGACGGGUGAGUAAUGUCUGGGAAACUGCCUGAUGGAGGGGGAUAACUACUGGAAACGGUAGCUAAUACCGCAUAACGUCGCAAGAACAAAGAGGGGGACCUUCGGGCCUCUUGCCAUCGGAUGUGCCCAGAUGGGAUUAGCUAGUAGGUGGGGUAACGGGUGACCUAGGCGACGAUCCCUAGCUGGUCUGAGAGGAUGACCGGCCACACUGGAACUGAGACACGGUCCAGACUCCUACGGGAGGCAGCAGUGGGGAAUAUUGCACAAUGGGCGCAAGCCUGAUGCAUCCAUGCCGCGUGUAUGAAGAAGGCCUUCGGGUUGUAAAGUACUUUCAGCGGGGAGGAAGGCGAUAAGGUUAAUAACCUUGUCGAUUGACGUUACCCGCAGAAGAAGCACCGGCUAACUCCGUGCCAGCCGCCGCGGUAA